rnacentral:rRNA from 1 species
UGAUACUAAGCCAUGCGAGUCAUUGUAGCAAUACAAGGCAUACGGCUCAGUAACGCGUAGUCAACCUAACCUAUGGACGGGAAUAACCUCGGGAAACUGAGAAUAAUGCCCGAUAGAACAUUAUGCCUGGAAUGGUUUAUGUUCCAAAUGAUUUAUCGCCGUAGGAUGGGACUGCGGCCUAUCAGUUUGUUGGUGAGGUAAUGGCCCACCAAGACUAUUACAGGUACGGGCUCUGAGAGGAGUAGCCCGGAGAUGGGUACUGAGACACGGACCCAGGCCCUAUGGGGCGCAGCAGGCGAGAAAACUUUGCAAUGUGCGAAAGCACGACAAGGUUAAUCCGAGUGGUUUCUGCUAAAGGAACCUUUUGUCAGUCCUAGAAACACUGAUGAAUAAGGGGUGGGCAAGUUCUGGUGUCAGCCGCCGCGGUAAAACCAGCACCUCAAGUGGUCAGGAUGAUUAUCGGGCCUAAAGCAUCCGUAGCCGGCUCUGUAAGUUUUCGGUUAAAUCUGUACGCUCAACGUACAGGCUGCCGGGAAUACUGCAAAGCUAGGGAGUGGGAGAGGUAGACGGUACUCGGUAGGAAGGGGUAAAAUCCUUUGAUCUAUUGAUGACCACCUGUGGCGAAGGCGGUCUACCAGAACACGUCCGACGGUGAGGGAUGAAAGCUGGGGGAGCAAACCGGAUUAGAUACCCGGGUAGUCCCAGCUGUAAACCAUGCAAACUCAGUGAUGCAUUGGCUUGUGGCCAAUGCAGUGCUGCAGGGAAGCCGUUAAGUUUGCCGCCUGGGAAGUACGUACGCAAGUAUGAAACUUAAAGGAAUUGGCGGGGGAGCACCACAAGGGGUGAAGCCUGCGGUUCAAUUGG